GGGUUGUAAACUGCUUUUAUACGGGAAGAAUAAGAGAUACGUGUAUCUCGAUGACGGUACCGUAAGAAUAAGGACCGGCUAACUCCGUGCCAGCAGCCGCGGUAAUACGGAGGGUCCGAGCGUUAUCCGGAAUCAUUGGGUUUAAAGGGUCCGCAGGCGGGCAAUUAAGUCAGGGGUGAAAUGCUGCGGCUCAACCGUAGCACUGCCCUUGAUACUGGUUGUCUUGAGUUAUGGUGGAGUGGCCGGAAUAUGUAGUGUAGCGGUGAAAUGCAUAGAUAUUACAUAGAACACCGAUCGCGAAGGCAGGUCACUAACCAUACACUGACGCUGAGGGACGAAAGCGUGGGGAGCGAACGGGAUUAGAUACCCCGGUAGUCCACGCCGUAAACGAUGGAUACUAGCUGUCGGACUUUCGGGUUCGGCGGCCAAGCGAAAGUGAUAAGUAUCCCACCUGGGGAGUACGUUCGCAAGAAUGAAACUCAAAGGAAUUGACGGGGGCCCGCACAAGCGGUGGAGCAUGUGGUUUAAUUCGAUGAUACGCGAGGAACCUUACCAGGGCUUAAAUGCAGAAUGACAGGGGCAGAGAUGCCUUUUUCUUCGGACAUUUUGCAAGGUGCUGCAUGGNUGUCGUCAGCUCGUGCCGUGAGGUGUCAGGUUAAGUCCUAUAACGAGCGCAACCCUUGCCGUCAGUUGCCAACAGGUAAUGCUGGGGACUCUGGCGGG
rnacentral:rRNA from 1 species